rnacentral:lncRNA from 12 species
CUUGUCUCCCUGCUGAGGUUCUGAGCUCUGGCAGAUAUUUGUAAAGCACUUUGUUCUCAGGAGAAAAGUCACACUUAGAAAGUGUCCACUGUCCGGCUCCAGCAGCCCGAGUCCAGCAGCACAAGGCAUCUCUGGUCCUUAUGCCCUGCAGAGAAAUCAAAGAAUCCAAGAGCAAGGCCUGGAAUGCCUGGCUGCCUCCCAGCUCUCUUACGAAGAAGUAAAUUCCAUUGUAGUCUCCGGCUCCUUUCCGCACUCUUGGAAUACUGUACGCCAGACCCUCUCUCCCUCCGACAAGCGACUGCUCGGCCACAGCAGGAAGCACAGAAAUCUUAAAACGUAAACUCAGAGUGCUCCCCACAUUUAUUUUCUACCGUCUUACCCGUCUGUCCCGCCAGAGACUGCAGGCGUCGUGACUUUCUCCAUGCUCUGGACUGUCGCAUGGUCCCUGUUGCUAGUGGCUCUUUGAACUGAUCCCAAGCCCAUGUCAGAAAAGCCCUUGAUCGAUUCCCAGUGCCAUCCUGAACAGCAGAUUGGGAUAUCGCACCUUUAAACCGCACGGCCUGGUAAACAAUACAGCAUGUACUCAGCUUCAUAAACACUCCGCGUUGUUACAAAGGGCAUUGCAAACUCAGUGUGAUAGGACUUGACCUUAAAAGCUAUAGACAAUCUAGCGGAGCACAGACGGUUUCAUAAAGUACAAUCACUUCCUGGAAUUCUUGGGCCAGUGCAGUCGGAGCCGUUCAAAUCCUGUUUUCCUUGCAUUGUUUCCUGCAUGUGAAUAUCAUCAGUCUAGCUGGACUGUAACCAUGGCACUUGUAAACAGCCCAGGGGCGACUUCUGAUAAAGGCAUACAGUUUUAAGAAAAAAAAUUUUUUUUUCUCUUAAAGACAAGCCCGAAUCAAACCCUACAAAUGCCAUCUGUCAACUACAAAGCUGACAAAUUGCAGUUUCAAGAGUGCACACAUCCAGACCCAGAGAUGUUUUUAAGUCACCAAAGGAGUCAAAACAGAUGCCCAUACUAUUGAGAGUAGUGUGAACGGGUUUUCACUUUUUAGAAUGUAGAUUUACACAAAUCCCGUAGAGAGGGAGCUGAUGGACACUGACCGGAAUCCUAAGUGAUUCUUUCCAUAGUAUUUUUCUCCUCCAGUGAAUGAGAUUGGGAAAUCAUAAUUGUUCAGUCCUUCAGUUUCUCUGAUCAGUGAUAGGAAGAGAAGAUAUUGAUGUAAACCCCUUGAAAUACUUAGCUUAAGACUGUUACUCUCUAGGAGUUUGACAUCACUGUUGGGCAAUUACAUUCCAGCUGUAUUUGGUACUUGAUGGGUUCCAAUUUAUACUUAGAGAUGAUAUUAAGGGGCAGACAGGCCAAAAUAGACCACUGUAACCUCACAGAAAAUCAAUCCAAAGAUAUACUUUCCAGAUUCGCUAUAAAUGUAUAAAAUUUGCACCUGGUGAAUUAAUCUUGAUUCUUCAGGCUUCUGCAUGAUUGAAAUGUUGGUUGAGCUGACGUUGUAAGUUAAAAAUUUUUAGCAGAUUUAAUAUAUGAUGGCUAUUGAACACGAUACUGACAACAGUAUUUUAAGCUUCUGAGAAGGAUUCCUUAGGGGAGGAAUAAAGAAAAGAGAAGCUCAUAAAACUCUCA